CCGGCGCGCGGCGAGGCGCCGCGCGGCCUGAACUCUUUUUGUUCGGUUGCUUUGGAUUUUACAAAAAGCCCAGAAACUUUCGAACAAAACCAAACACCCGGAUGACCCUCUCUGGCGAGCGGCGAAGACGGCCGAUAGGCUGCGUCGCCCGAGCCCCGGGAGAGAGGAGCCGGAGAUCCGAAACGCGCCAACUCACCGGGCAUCCUGCCCGCCGCCUGCUCCCCGCCCCCAUCCCCUCGACGACCCCCGCCCCUGCCCCCCCGGGCUGUUCGGGGCCGGAUCCCGGCAGCGGCCUCCCCACAGCGACAGCUGCGAUUCGGUUCCCGGCCACGCGGGAGGGGUCUGCGCUCCCACAACAUAGUCCAUGGGAAGAGGCUUCUGCCCCGCUGCAGACUGACCGCUGCACAGCAGGGCCCCCGCUCCCCGCGGGGCCCUGCCCUCCUGGCCACAAACAAACGAAACUUGACAAAGUUGGAGAUAUUUUUGGACCAGCUGUAGAAAUAAGCCGUUCCCUGAGAACCUUCUGCCUGAUUCCCUGCAGCUUCCGCCUGCUCCCUUUCCAGCCCCACCUGGGAUGCGGGAUGCUGGGCGGCCAGGAGAGAAAUCCCCAAGUUUGGGGUGAGGUGGGAACCAUGUAAAUAUGUGAGAUAUGUACACACUGGCGGGGAGAAGAAACAUUUUGUGCUUGGUUUUUAUUUUUGGUUUUCCGGGUUGCCCUCCAUCCCCAUCCUAAAGGAUUUUGUACACCGAAUAAUCCGAAAAAAAAAAAUAUUUUAAUAUGAUUUCCAAAUUUCUGACCCAUCUCUAUUUAUUUUCUGGAUGUGUUUGGAGCUUCCCCCCUUCUCCAUUUCUUGUUCUGUUUGUUACAGUUUGGAUUUAAAUUUUGUUAUUUUAUUUUUAUUAUUUUUUGGAACAAUGUUUUGGUGCAUUCUUUGUAUCUUUAUUGCAAAAAAAAAAUAAUGUAGACUGGGAAGUUCCCUUUAUAUUUAUGUUAUAGUAAAUAUUUUAUUACUCACAUAAACAUGUACCCCAGGGCUGUGUCCUGUCCUUUUUACUACGAGGGUUGGGUUGGUUUGCGGGUAAAGCGUUGGGAUACCCUAGCUAACCUCUCCUAAAGUUCUGGCCACACUAUCUUGGAGCAAGGUGACCAUGCAGACCUUCUUUCAGGCCAGUAUGAGGACUGCCUGUUACUUGGGCAACAGUUGGGCCCCUGCCUUUAGGCGAGUGAGUUUUAGGGAAGAUGAAGCUGCCUCGUGUCCCCUCCCGUAAACAAGACUAUCCUGAGACCAGACCAGGACCUACGACACUGCAGACACCACACUGAUUUCGGGACAGCCGUUCCCCAGGCACAACUGCUUCUCAGCCAAGGAAGAAUUGCCUGUCUCACGUGGACCACCAGCCUGGCAUCUUUGUGUUCCCCACCCAAGACCCCAGACCCUGACUUUGGUCUGUCUCCCUUUGCGUUCCGUGUGUGGCAUCCAGGCCAGCUUUACUCUCCCAGGUCAUGGGGCAGUCGGAAGCAGGGUCAGGCCCCACCAGCCCACCCCAGCUGGCUCUCCACCCACAGAACAAAUGGUGCCUGCACCUACCUGGAUCCACUGGGAGUUCUAACAGCUUCCACAGUGGUCCUGCGGGAAU
rnacentral:lncRNA from 1 species